rnacentral:rRNA from 1 species
CCCUUAGAUGUUCUGGGCCGCACGCGCGCUACACUGAUACGUUCAACAAGUUUAUAACCUUGAUCGAUAGGUCUGGGUAAUCUUUUGAAUGCGUAUCGUGCUAGGGAUAGAUUAUUGCAAUUAUUAAUCUUGAACGAGGAAUUCCUAGUAAACGCAAGUCAUCAGCUUGCAUUGAUUACGUCCCUGCCCUUUGUACACACCGCCCGUCGCACCUACCGAUUGAAUGACUCGGUGAAAAAUUGGGACUGUGGUUUUAUUUGAUUCAUUUCAAAUUUAACUGUGGGAACUUUCUUUAACCUAUUCAUUUAGAGGAAGGUGAAGGCGUAACA